AGUUCAAAAUUGAGUGCCUUUGAUUUUCGUAAUUUCAUCUCGAAUAGAGCAUUGGCCUUUUUAUUUAAUAAUGAUCAGUACAUAUUUUAAAGCAGUGCAAUAAAUCCAAUAACAAAAGCGUGUUGUUCCACCAAGGAAGACUAGCUCGUUUAAAAAAGUUUUUGGAUUGGAUCGCAGCCGUGCGAAUGGUCCUAGACGUAAUAGCAGCAUCAUAGCUGCAGUUGCCGUUAAAUGGCUUUGUGUUCAAAAAUGACUCUGCAUAUUUGGAGUAAUUAAACAAAUCUGCUUAUCCCAGAGGAAUUUAACUUGUUUUGCCGAAGUAACGGAGGAGUUUGAAAUGUUAAGAUUGAUUAUGAUUCGAAAGUAAUCACUAUUAAGUUGAUCAUCAGAAAUAGACCAGGAAACCAGAGAAAAAAGUUGCGUAGACCGACAUCUUAAAUCAAUAUGCUAAAAAGUGUGAUGAGUUGAAAAAUACGUUGGUCUUUUAUCAUUUAAAACGCAGAGAUUGCUUUGAAUGAAGGCAUUUUCUAAAACAGUACCACGAUUCUUGUUCCCUGUUGAGCUCCAGAUGUUGUUCCAACUGCAAAAUUCGCCGCAUAUAAUUAAAGGGGGGAAUUACGGAGAAUAAAUUAUGAAGCUCACUGAGAAAACGAUUGUGAACGCGGAAUAUAGAAUAAAAGCACUGUAAAUUUUAUGUUAAAGACUAUUUGUAUCGCUACGGCUUAUAUGUAUGAGAUUAAACUGAUGCCACUGAAUCAACUCACUGAUUGGAAUAUGAAUUUUGAUCAGUAUUCGAGAAGUAUUCAGUAUAUGUUUUGGGUGAAUAACAUUCUACGAUAGACCUCUUGAAGGGGUAUAAAGGUUGGGUUAAAAUAACUUGUGAGUAUGCGGAGUCCGUCAAAGUUAUUAAUAAGUCCCUCAAUGUUCCAUUGUUGAAUUUUAGUAAUUUUAAUUGUAGUAAAGUGAAAACGUAAUGAUAGGUAAGUGUUGACAUGUUAGCGUCUCCGUCGAAAAUGUCGCUGUACGACUUUUAUCUGAAUAACUUAUUCUUAUUAGUUCUUACGGUACUUAAGUGGUUGCGUUUGAAGUGCAACGAGUGGCCACACGUGAAUAAUUUAAAAUUGAAGGUUGAUUAAAGGAUGAAAGAUUGGAUUCAUUACAACUUGUAAUUUAUUGAAUGUAGUUGAGCGCUGGUGACUCUUAGGUUUUAGGAUAUGUGUUGUUGUUUUAAUUUUUUCAAUAUUAUAUUUGGCAGGUGAUGGAUCUGGUUUCUCAAUAUGGUUUUUGGCUGAUGAUAGAAUGGGUUUGUCAUUGGCAGAACUUGGAGUUAAAAGCUUAUUAGACUCGAUUUGCGAGGCGACGGCAGCGUAGGUAUUACUUUCAUUGAUUCCUUGGAUUUCAGUUGAGUUUAAUUCCCGGUACUUGCGUCGCGGGUUUUAAAAUUUCGGGCAUUCGUAUAUAACGUGGACAUUGUUUGUCUAACGCCGAGUGCUGACCAUUGCAAUUGAUGCAGAAACUACAGAUAUCAGCAUAUGUAGGAAGACCACAAUUAGCUCAAAAUGGAGCACUGGUGCACCUUUUUACCGUAUGACCCAAACGUUGGCAAGUUAUGCAUCUCAUGGGAUUUGGAAUGUAGAGUUCCACUUUAUGCUUAUAGGAAGCCUCAUCAACAAUUUGCGGUGACCGAUAACGGUCAAAAGUCAUAAUUAUCUUACCUAAGUAUAUAAAGAAAAUAAACGCACAGGCGGUAUCCGCGAUAACCAGCUUGGCAAAAAAACUGGAAAGACGAAAAGGUCAGAACAGUCAAAAAAUCGCAGACGUAAACAGAACACGAAUGAAAAUAUAAUAUUAAUGAUGAUGAUCUGUAAAAAAUCAGGAUGGCGUAUUAUGCGCGGUGCAUAAAUUCUAUUACCCGUGCCGCUAGCAGAAAAAGAAGAAAUUCAAAGAGUAACAAAACGGUUUGCAUAAUUACCUGAAAUAAAAUGAGUAAUGUUAUCCGACAAAAAUGGUAAUUUUUCCCUGUUUGAUGGAAGAGAUACUCUCAAUUUAUACUGCCGUGAAAGUUUGGUGAUCGAAUUCCAAGUAAAGCAAAGAAUACAUUGCACUUAUAAAUUUCAGAAGUUUUAGUUUCUGAAUAUCAAUUUUACGUGGCCACGAAGUCAGCGAACUCAGCCAAUGUGUCACCUUGCGAGAUAUCGAAAAACUAAAUUAAAAGUAGUACUGCCGAGAAAUUAAAAGUUAGCCACCACUUUAAGAUAAAAUUUAUUAGCAAUAAAUUAAGAGGUCUAGCAGACCUUCAUAUUCAUUCAUAUUAAAUAACGCUUCCUUAGUGGUGUCUUAAUUUGAUAAUGGAGGUAUUUAUAUAAAUUUUCCAAAUUUUUAAUAACAAAUUUUAUUAGUUCU